rnacentral:lncRNA from 10 species
GGCCUUCACACUCACCACCACUCACUCACAGACUCACCCAGAGCAACUUCCAGUCCUGCAAGCUCCAUUUGUGGUAAGAGCCCUAUACAGGUAUACCAUUUUUUAUCUUUUAUACCUAUUUUCACCAUACCUUUUCCAUGUUUAGAUGCAUAUAUACUUAUCAUGUGUUGCAGCUGCCUACAGUUUUCAGUAUGGUAACAUUCUGUGCAGGUUUGUAGCCUAGGAGCGACAGGCUAUACCAGAGAGCAUAGGCGUGUGUGUAGGCUAUACCCUUAGGUUUGUGUAAGUGCACUCUAAGAUCAUACAAUGACAAAAGUGCCUAACGAUGCUUUUUUUUUUUUUUCUGAGACAAAGUCUCACUCUGUUGCCCAAACUGGAGUGCAGUGUCAUUAUCUCUGCUUACUGCAACCUCCACCUCCCGGGUUCAAGCAAUUCUCCUGCCUCAGCCUCCCAAGUAGCUGGGACUACAGGCACUUGCCGCCAUGCCCGGCUAAUUUUUUGUUGUUGUAUUUUUAGUAGAGACAGGGUUUCACUAUGUUGGCCAGGCUGGUCUUGAACUCCUGACCUCGUGAUCCACCCGCCUCAGCCUCCCAAAGUGCUGGGAUUACAGGCAUGAGCCACUGUGCCCAGCCCACGAUGCAUUUCUCAGAAUGUAUCCCUGUCAUUAAGUGGCACAUGACUGUACAUUAGUAAUGAGAAAAGAGAAAGGAAGGAAAGCAGGGAGGGAAGGAAGAAGGAAAAGAAGAGCAAAGAAAGAAGAAAACUGAAAAAAGAGACAAAUGAAGCAAACAUAGAAAAAUCUUGGUAAUUGGCCAGGCGCGGUGGCUCACGCCUGUAAUCCCAGCACUUUGGGAGGCCGAGGUGGGCGGAUCACAAGUUCAGCAGAUCGAGAUCAUCCUGGCUAACACGGUGAAACCUCGUCUCUACUAAAAAUACAAAAAAUUAGCCAGGCUAAUUUUUUUUUUUUUUUUUUUUGUAGAAUCUGGGAGAUCAAUAUGCAGAGGUUACUUAUAUUGCUCUACUUCUGUUUGUUUAAUUCAUUUUUUUCUUAAACAAUUUUUUCUUUGUUCUUUUUCUUUUGACUGAGCCAUCCAUUUCCUAUUUGUUUAUUUUGAAAGUUUUCAUAAUAAAGGUUAAUUUUUAAAAAUUUAAAACUACCAAGAUCACUAAUCCUAUACUAACAAAGCAUGAGAUUUCUCACAUCAAAAAAAAAGUCCUUCUGUGAGAGCCCAUUUUUUGAAUAGUUUAAAACACAAAACAUCUGUAUUUCAUUAUGUGAAUGCGCUUGAGAUUUUAAGAAUAUAUCUUAGCAAGGAAUAGACAAUACUGAAUUCCCUUUCCCAGUGAUAUCCUAAUUUAAAAAUAGCACCAAAAUUGGCAGGGUGUGGUGGCUCAUGCCUGUAAUCCCAGCACUUUGGGAGGCUGAGGCAGGCGGAUCACUUGAGGCUAGGAAUCUGAGAUCAGCCUGGCCAAAACGGUGAAACUCUGUCUCUACUAAAAAUACAAAAAUUAGCUGGGUGUGGUGGUGCAUGCCUGUAAUCCCUGCUACUCGGGAGGCUGAGGCAGGAGAAUCACUUGAACCCAGGAGGCAGAGGUUGCAGCGAGCUGAGAUCACGUCACUGCACUCCAGCCUGGGCAACAGAGGAAGAUUCUGUCUCAAAAAAAAAGAAAAAAAAACAAUAAACAAACAAACAAACAAAAAUAGCACCAAAAUAAAUGAAAUACUGAAACUCAUUACUCACAGAAAAGAAAUAGUGUUUCCAAAGCAUCAAAAACAAAAUCCAAACACUGGAAGGAUACAUUAAACAACUUAAAAGUGGUGACUUCUGGGGCAGAGGUAGAGAUGAGUAUUCUCAAUUAAUACUUCUUAACAUUGUUGAUUUUUUGAGCCAUGUGAAUGUAUUGCCUAAUCAAAAAUAAAAUUUAAUUUCAAAUAAAAUAAUUUAUUUUUGUAUCUGAAAGACGUAAUGUUACUCUUCCAUGAAGAAUCUUACAAUAAAGCUUUAAAAAGGAAAAAUGAGCUGCUCUUUAAGACUUGCUGACAGUCACUUAUACUACUACGGUAUUUUCCAGGAUCAACCUUUGGCACUUUUAAAACAUGUUAAUUUCUCCUCCUGCUUCUAAACAGGUUCUUUUCUUUAGAUGAACAUUAAAAACUUGAAAUAAAUCUGAGGUAUUUAACAUAAAAGCAAAAGACUCCCUGAGGUUAACUUGAAAAAAAGGCUCGAAUCAAGGAAAGCCCCUUCUAUAUUUCAUUUUGUGUCAAGCCACACAUUUAAGUCUUUACUUGAAAGGUGAUGAAUUUAACAAGGAUUUAGAAAUCUUCACUUUGUUCCACUCUUCUAACCCCAAACCCAACCUAUGAUAUUUUUCCUUUCUUUUCUCAUCCAUUACCUGUGCGGCAGCCUCCUCUUGUCAAUCAAGAUUACUGAAGCCUCAAACCAAAACUCAGUAGCCUAUUAAGCUACUUAAAAUAGAUUUUUAAAACCCGAUUCUUACAACCCCUUCUGAUGCAUUUCUGCAUCCCUUUUCCUGGUUCUUUUACUGAGUUAAUAGUCAAAUAAAUAAAUUAGUAUUAAAACUUUAAAAUAAGCUAAAGCCCCACAUGGAUAUCUGGCAGACUACAUUGUGUUCCCAGCAUACCUGGUGAUUUCAAGGACUUAGCAAGCAGGUGGAAGACUCCAUCAACCAGUGAGCACUGCAAACAUGUCAUGCAAAAACAUGGCAUUCUCUUUCUAAAAAAACCUCAUCACUGGAUUGCUUUUCAUGGUUACUGGUCUAGAUACAAGUUUGAAUAGGGGCUAUGAAUUAGUAUGUAUUUACUGAGGGUCCAGAAUGUUUGUUCUUGCAGAGCUUUAAAAUAUGGUUGACAAGACACAUUUAACAUCCAGAACAUCUUAGCAGGUCAACUGUGUAGCACACAGGCUGUUAAGCACAGCGGAGCCAGGAGCUACACAAGGCUAGUGCAGACUCAGCAGCUUCAUGGACACCUGGCAAGAUGUCACAGAUGUGUAAGACAAACCAGGGAGGCAAUGGGAACCCACUGCUCCCCUGACAGAGGUUCUGCCUUUGAGACAGAAAGGGGUUUGGCUGGGAUAAACUGUGGAGGAAGAGCAGCGGUGGAAGAAAAAUCAGAACAAAUAAAUAUGGACCAAUAAUGUGUUGACAAUAUAUGUGUCCAAAUAAAAAUGAGAAAACAUAAGAGCGCCACUGCACUCCAGCCUGGGAGAGAGCAAGACUCCGCCUCAAAAAAAAAAAAAAAAAAAAAAGGAAAAUAACGUAGUACCACGCCAUGUACCACUUUAUUCCUUUACUGGUUCAGUAAACACAUGCUGAGCCCCUACUCUGGGCCAGCAAUGGGAUACAACAAGGAUUCCAGCAAUGCUCACAGCCUAGGAAGAGAACCAGAAAGCUACGCAAGGGCAGAGCUGGAGAGGGACCAGAUUGUAGAAUUUUAAACAAGGAAAUGAUACAAGCAGCUGAAGAAUACAUGAGUGGAGCAGACCACGCCAGCAGAAAGAAUGGUGUCAGGGGAAGGGUUUGUACUGUGGGCGACUCAGUGGAUGACAGUAGCUGCUGAAUAAACAUUAGUUUCCUUUUUCCUUUUCCUGUACGGGUAUUUCUUGAAAAACUUACCUUUCUGCACGAAUCACACCACUGUAGUAAGGGGGGUCCCAGGGCAUUACUUCCUACAAUGGAAUAAUUCACUGUUAAGGAAAGCUACUGACUCUUUCAUAGUUUUUAUCAGCAACGUGGCCAGCCUAUAGAAUGUAAACCAGCUACUGUUCAUGUAAAUCAGAACAAUUUUAUAGAAUCCCUUAAAAAAUUGAUAGCUUGGCAGAAAAUACCUGGCUCCUUAUUUUGACUUCCC